AUUGAACGCUGGCGGCAUGCCUUACACAUGCAAGUCGAACGGUAACAGGUCUUCGGAUGCUGACGAGUGGCGAACGGGUGAGUAAUACAUCGGAACGUGCCUAGUAGUGGGGGAUAACUACUCGAAAGAGUGGCUAAUACCGCAUGAGAUCUACGGAUGAAAGCAGGGGAUCGCAAGACCUUGUGCUACUAGAGCGGCCGAUGGCAGAUUAGGUAGUUGGUGGGAUAAAAGCUUACCAAGCCGACGAUCUGUAGCUGGUCCGAGAGGACGAUCAGCCACACUGGGAGUGAGACACGGCCCAGACUCCUACGGGAGGCAGCAGUGGGGAAUUUUGGACAAUGGGCGCAAGCCUGAUCCAGCAAUGCCGCGUGCAGGAUGAAGGCCUUCGGGUUGUAAACCGCUUUUGUACGGAACGAAAAGCCCUGGGUUAAUACCCUGGGGUCAUGACGGUACCGUAAGAAUAAGCACCGGCUAACUACGUGCCAGCCGCCGCCGUAA
rnacentral:rRNA from 1 species